UUGAACCAGAGGCGGUUGCAGGAAAUGAUUAAACGGUUCACUUAUUCGACUCUAUACGUUUGAAUCCCAUCCCCGUAAUGUCUAUAAUCUCAAUUUCGAGGUUAUAUACGCUAUAAAGUUCGAAAUUCAAGAUGGAUCGCGGGAGGCCGCUUUUUAUGAAAACGUAUAGCAAGCAUCUUCGGCAAAUCCCUGCCUGGAUCUCUCCUGACAGCCACAAACUGGCAUUCGACUCCAGCCUCUCCACCGGGGCGGACUCCUCUGUCUGGGAGCCCCCCAUAGCCCCGGAGAUCAGCAUGGAGAGCGCUACUUUCGCCAGCCGUAAGGGAAGGCGACCUGCCAAACGAAAAGUGUCGGUGUGUCAGAAGGAGAAGGAAAACACGUCCCCUGCCGUUGAUCCUCCGGUUAAGCAGAGGAAGAAGUACAGCAGUUUCUGGUGUGUCCAGCCCCGAGGGUAUUGUGUAGUCUCCCCCCAGGAAGCUCUGCUACAACAUUGUAGAACUGCUGGAUCGGUCCUGAGCAUGUGAUGGUCUUAGCGUCACUCAGAAUAAUUGAAUCCUCACAAGUGGACGACUGCCAAGCCGCCAUUAGACAGUAGCGAGAGCGAAGUGGACUUCACAUCUCGCCCGAAAAGAAGUAAGGUUACUGCGCAACGGAAGAAAAAGUUGAUAAAUGUCCCUGUUCCUUCAGCGGGCCGCUACGUGACCCUCCGCAGGGCAGCCCCCCCGCGCGCUGUCCGCGGUAAGGCCAGCUGCAGCUUCCUGAACUCCUCUGCUGAGUUUGUGGCGAACCAAGAGUCCGUCGCGCCCCGUCGGAUCCUCCUGCCGGCCACCGCUCUUCAGAGCUGCACCUCGGACGUGUCCGAGCCAGGCUCGGUGACUCUGAGCCUCGUCGCCGACCCACACCGACCGGAGGUUUCCCCGGCGGACGCCGCCAAGCGCGUUCUCGGACCCUCUCCCAGCAAGCCCCUCUUCUGCUCCACUCCGUCGGUCUCUCGGCGCCGAAG
ensembl:lncRNA